AUUGAACGCUGGCGGCAUGCUUUACACAUGCAAGUCGAACGGUAACAGGCCGCAAGGUGCUGACGAGUGGCGAACGGGUGAGUAAUGCAUCGGAACGUGCCCAGUCGUGGGGGAUAACGCAGCGAAAGCUGCGCUAAUACCGCAUACGAUCUAUGGAUGAAAGCGGGGGACCGUAAGGCCUCGCGCGAUUGGAGCGGCCGAUGUCAGAUUAGGUAGUUGGUGGGGUAAAGGCUCACCAAGCCGACGAUCUGUAGCUGGUCUGAGAGGACGACCAGCCACACUGGGACUGAGACACGGCCCAGACUCCUACGGGAGGCAGCAGUGGGGAAUUUUGGGCAAUGGGGGCAACCCUGAUCCAGCAAUGCCGCGUGCAGGAAGAAGGCCUUCGGGUUGUAAACUGCUUUUGUACGGAACGAAACGGCUCUGGUUAAUACCUGGGGCUAAUGACGGUACCGUAAGAAUAAGCACCGGCUAACUACGUGCCAGCCGCCGCGGUAA
rnacentral:rRNA from 1 species